GCAGUCGCCGCGGUAAUACGGAGGGAGCUAGCGUUGUUCGGAAUUACUGGGCGUAAAGCGCGCGUAGGCGGUUACUCAAGUCAGAGGUGAAAGCCCGGGGCUCAACCCCGGAACUGCCUUUGAAACUAGGUGACUAGAAUCUUGGAGAGGUCAGUGGAAUUCCGAGUGUAGAGGUGAAAUUCGUAGAUAUUCGGAAGAACACCAGUGGCGAAGGCGACUGACUGGACAAGUAUUGACGCUGAGGUGCGAAAGCGUGGGGAGCAAACAGGAUUAGAUACCCCAGUAGUCCCUGUCUCUUAUAC
rnacentral:rRNA from 1 species